rnacentral:rRNA from 1 species
CCCUUAGAUGUUCUGGGCCGCACGCGAGCUACACUGAUGCAUUCAACGAGUCUAAAACCUGGUCUGAUAGGGCUGGGUAAUCUUUUGAAAGUGCAUCGUGAUUGGGAUAGAUGAUUGCAAUUCUUCAUCUUCAACGAGGAAUGCCUAGUAAACGCAAGUCAUCAGCUUGCAUUGAUUACGUCCCUGCCCUUUGUACACACCGCCCGUCGCUCCUACCGAUUGAAUGAUCCGAUGAAUACCAUGGAUUGAGAGUACGAAUGGGUUCGCUCAUUUCUGCUGCUCGAGAAGUGGAGUAAAUCUUAUCAUUUAGAGGAAGGAGAAGUCGUAACA